rnacentral:tRNA from 1 species
GCAGGGGUAGUCAAGCUUGGCCAACGGCGCAAGGUUGAGGGCCUUGUCCUUAGUGGUUCGAGGGUUCAAAUCCCUUCCCCUGCACCA